CUGCUCCUCUAUAAAGAGCUCCAACCUGAGCCGUUCAGUCCUACACAUAUCUUCAAAAAAGUCACACAACUCUUGUGCACAUUGCUCUCAGACUGGGACCUUCAUUAUCAGUGAGACUCUGAAAAUGGGUACAUAUUGGGCACAAUAUCAAGAAGCUGAAGUGGAGAAAAAACAAUACAAGGAAGAUUUGGACCAAUUAAAAUCAAAAGAAGAAAAACAAAGAAAAAUACACGAGAAGAACAAGGAAGAUUUGGACCAAUUAAAAUUAAAAGAAGAAAAACAAAGAAAAAUACACAAGAAGAACAAGGAAGAAUUGGACCAAUUAAAAUUAAAAGAAGAAAAACUAAGAAAAAUACACGAGAAGAACAAGGAAGAAUUGGAUAAUUUUAAAUUAAGAGAGGAAGAAAAGAGAAAAAUAGAUGAGAACAACAGAUCUAGAGAACAAGACGAGAAGAAGAGAAUUCAUCAAGCAAUCUUAACUUCACAAACUGACACCUAAUGUACAACACUAUCACCUGAUAUAACAGUUCAUAAAGAAUGUUGAAACUGUUAUUAAUGCAAGACCUUCGUUUUUCUUUUAUAACCAGUAAAUAGGAUUACUAAUAGUAAUUUGGAGUACUGUAUUUUGUAGCACUCUUUCUUGCUGUUGAAAAGGAUGAAAAAAAUUGUAUGCUUAUCUUCUGUAUGCUUCUAUAUUGCCUGCUUACAUAUUAUAUAAUCCUCGAGUCCUUUAGGAAUGAUCUUGAUGCACUUCAUUUAAACAUUUUAUACUCUUUUAUUAUGUGUUAUUAAACUCUAUUGCUGUCAGAUAUGAGCAUACCUAUAAUAUUUUGUUGUUGCAUCACCUUAAAAACAAAAAAUAAACACAUUUGUAUGGCCAUUCACCCAAACA